rnacentral:rRNA from 1 species
CGGGGUGAGUAACGCGUGGGUAACCUGCCUCAUACAGGGGGAUAACAGUUGGAAACGACUGCUAAUACCGCAUAAGCGCACAGGAUUGCAUGAUCCAGUGUGAAAAACUCCGGUGGUAUGAGAUGGACCCGCGUCUGAUUAGCCAGUUGGCGGGGUAACGGCCCACCAAAGCGACGAUCAGUAGCCGACCUGAGAGGGUGACCGGCCACAUUGGGACUGAGACACGGCCCAA